rnacentral:rRNA from 1 species
UACGUAGGGGGCAAGCGUUUGUCCGGAUUUAUUGGGCGUAAAGAGCUCGUAGGCGGUUUGUCGCGUCUGCUGUGAAAACUCGGGGCUUAACCCCGGGCCUGCAGUGGGUACGGGCAGACUAGAGUCCGGAAGAGGAGAGUGGAAUUCCUGGUGUAGCGGUGAAAUGCGCAGAUAUCAGGAAGAACACCCGUGGCGAAGGCGGCUCUCUGGGAUGGUACUGACGCUGAGACGCGAAAGCGUGGGGAGCGAACAGG